AUAUGUUACCAAAAAAGAAGAAGAUAAAGUU
rnacentral:sRNA from 1 species